UAGGGAAUNNUUGGCAAUGGGGGCAACCCUGACCGAGCAACGCCGCGUGAGUGAAGAAGGUUUUCGGAUUNUUAAGCUCUGUUGUAAGAGAAGAACGAGUGUGAGAGUGGAAAGUUCACACUGUGACGGUAACUUACCAGAAAGGGACGGCUAACUACGUGCCAGCAGCCGCGGUAAUACGUAGGUCCCGAGCGUUAUCCGGAUUUAUUGGGCGUAAAGCGAGCGCAGGCGGUUAGAUAAGUCUGAAGUUAAAGGCUGUGGCUUAACCAUAGUACGCUUUGGAAACUGUUUAACUUGAGUGCAGAAGGGGAGAGUGGAAUUCCAUGUGUAGCGGUGAAAUGCGUAGAUAUAUGGAGGAACACCGGUGGCGAAAGCGGCUCUCUGGUCUGUAACUGACGCUGAGGCUCGAAAGCGUGGGGAGCAAACAGGAUUAGAUACCCUGGUAGUCCACGCCGUAAACGAUGAGUGCUAGGUGUUGGGUCCUUUCCGGGACUCAGUGCCGCAGCUAACGCAUUAAGCACUCCGCCUGGGGAGUACGACCGCAAGGUUG
rnacentral:rRNA from 1 species